GAGAAGAUAAUCCCAUUGGCUGAGGGUGACCAUACAAUCAUACGUGUAACUGAGAGGUACUUGCUCGUACUAAGGUCAGAUGUGAGGAUCGACUGCAUGACAUUUCAGGUUGAGAGGCUUUAUGAGAAAUCUGAAUGUUUCUCACUAGACGUCAAGACAUUUAAGCUUGAGAGGGUGUGUGAGAAAAAAGAAUGUCUCAUGUGGGCCCAUAUACACCAACUUCCCACCAUCAUUGUCGUCAAGGACAGUAUGAAAUGAAUUGCCUGGCCUGUGAAGAAAAGGACAUCAGUACAUUCUUAGACAGUAUCUAUGUCCGUGAUGAAAAGCUUCAGAAGGUGUCCUGGUAGUUGCAUCCUGAAGAGUGGGCGGCGUGGUGCUUCUAUUUCUGCUGCGAAAGAAGUGCUUUUCUUCUUCUCUGGUGGAAGUUCUAUCCUAGUACUUUUGUAUGAGCUUUGCCUAUAACUUUGGUCUCAUUUUCUAUUGUUAUCAAUAAGGGAGGUUUGUUCCUUUUUGUCGUCUUGUUUAUGUUUGGAACAACUUGUUGAACUCUAUCUUAUCAGACUAAUGCA